GAUUAACGCUGGCGGCGUGCCUAACACAUGCAAGUCGAACGAUGAAACUUAAAUGAUUUCUUCGGAAUGAACUUAAGUGGAUUAGUGGCGGACGGGUGAGUAACGCGUGAGUAACCUGCCUUACACAAGGGGAUAGCCGUUGGAAACGACGAAUAAUACCCUAUGAAACUAUCACUUCGCAUGAAGCGAUAGUCAAAGUGUUAGCGGUGUAAGAUGGACUUGCGUCUGAUUAGCUAGUUGGUGAGAAAAAAGCCCACCAAGGCAACGAUCAGUAGCCGGCUUGAGAGAGUGUACGGCCACAUUGGGACUGAGACACGGCCCAGACUCCUACGGGAGGCAGCAGUGGGGAAUUUUGCACAAUGGGGGAAACCCUGAUGCAGCGACGCCGCGUGAUUUAGAAGGCCUUCGGGUUGUAAAAAUCUUUUGUAUAGGAAGAAAAUGACAGUACUAUACGAAUAAGGUCCGGCUAAUUACGUG
rnacentral:rRNA from 1 species